UUGCCAGCCCGCUCAGAACUCAAAGGAAUUGACGGGGCCCGCACAAGCGGUGGAGCAUGUGGUUUAAUUCGAUGAUACGCGAGGAACCUUACCUGGGCUCAAAUGUAUGUUGACGUAUUCUGAAAGGGAUACUUCUUCGGACAAUAUACAAGGUGCUGCAUGGUUGUCGUCAGCUCGUGCCGUGAGGUGUCGGGUUAAGUCCCAUAACGAGCGCAACCCCUAUCAUUAGUUGCCAUCAGGUCAAGCUGGGGACUCUAAUGAAACUGCCUACGCAAGUAGUGAGGAAGGUGGGGAUGACGUCAAAUCAGCACGGCCCUUACGUCCAGGGCUACACACGUGCUACAAUGGCCGGUACAAAGGGCAGCGACACUGCGAGGUGAAGCCAAUCCCGUAAAAUCGGUCUCAGUCCGGAUUGGAGUCUGCAACUCGACUCCAUGAAGUUGGAAUCGCUAGUAAUCGUGGAUCAGCAUGCCACGGUGAAUACGUUCCCGGGCCUU
rnacentral:rRNA from 1 species